rnacentral:ncRNA from 1 species
AACUUGAUGCAGGGGAGUUUGUUUAAACAAUCUGAGAGGAAGCUGGUAUCGCUUCGACCCUAUAACCUGAUACGGGUAAUUCCGGCGCAGGGAGUCAUACUGGUGGAUUAU